UGCAAGUAGAACGCUGAAGGAGGAGCUUGCUCUUCUGGAUGAGUUGCGAACGGGUGAGUAACGCGUAGGUAACCUGCCUGGUAGCGGGGGAUAACUAUUGGAAACGAUAGCUAAUACCGCAUAACAGUAGAUGUUGCAUGACAUUUGCUUAAAAGGUGCAAUUGCAUCACUACCAGAUGGACCUGCGUUGUAUUAGCUAGUUGGUGGGGUAACGGCUCACCAAGGCGACGAUACAUAGCCGACCUGAGAGGGUGAUCGGCCACACUGGGACUGAGACACGGCCCAGACUCCGACGGGAGGCAGCAGUAGGGAAUCUUCGGCAAUGGACGGAAGUCUGACCGAGCAACGCCGCGUGAGUAAAGAAGGUUUUCGGAUCGUAAAGCUCUGUUGUAAGAGAAGAACGAGUGUGAGAGUGGAAAGUUCACACUGUGACGGUAUCUUACCAGAAAGGGACGGCUAACUACGUGCCAGCAGCCGCGGUAAUACGUAGGUCCCGAGCGUUGUCCGGAUUUAUUGGGCGUAAAGCGAGCGCAGGCGGUUAGAUAAGUCUGAAGUUAAAGGCUGUGGCUUAACCAUAGUACGCUUUGGAAACUGUUUAACUUGAGUGCAAGAGGGGAGAGUGGAAUUCCAUGUGUAGCGGUGAAAUGCGUAGAUAUAUGGAGGAACACCGGUGGCGAAAGCGGCUCUCUGGCUUGUAACUGACGCUGAGGCUCGAAAGCGUGGGGAGCAAACAGGAUUAGAUACCCUGGUAGUCCACGCCGUAAACGAUGAGUGCUAGGUGUUAGACCCUUUCCGGGGUUUAGUGCCGCAGCUAACGCAUUAAGCACUCCGCCUGGGGAGUACGACCGCAAGGUUGAAACUCAAAGGAAUUGACGGGGGCCCGCACAA
rnacentral:rRNA from 1 species